UACGUAGGGGGCAAGCGUUGUCCGGAAUCAUUGGGCGUAAAGCGCGUGUAGGCGGCCCGGUAAGUCCGCUGUGAAAGUCGGGGGCUCAACCCUCGAAAGCCGGUGGAUACUGUCGGGCUCGAGUACGGGAGAGGCGAGUGGAAUUCCUGGUGUAGCGGUGAAAUGCGCAGAUAUCAGGAGGAACACCGAUUGCGAAGGCAGCUCGCUGGAACGUCACUGACGCUGAGACGCGAAAGCGUGGGGAGCAAACAGG
rnacentral:rRNA from 1 species